CACCAUCCUGUCCGGAGUCACCAGGCUGUUGCUGAGGUAGCCGUAGGAGCACGAGAAGAAGGAAUACUGCUGAGCGUGGCGCAGCAGUAACAUUCCGUCCAUGCGGUUGACAAAAACCUCCGUACGCUCUCGCCCAUGUUCAUAUAAGGAACAGUCCCGAAGGUGUUCUUGAGCAGCACCCAGAAGACAGUGACUUGUAUUCUGUGUCCUCCUAGGUGUCGCGAAGCUGAAAAAGCGGCGGCCCCUUCCUGACACGAGG